rnacentral:rRNA from 1 species
AAAGCUCAAAUUUGAAAUCUAGCACUUUCAGUGUUCGAGUUGUAAUUUGAAGAAGGUAACUUUGGUUUUGGCUCUUGUCUAUGUUCCUUGGAACAGGACGUCACAGAGGGUGAGAAUCCCGUGCGAUGAGAUGCCCAAUUCCAUGUAAAGUGCUUUCGAAGAGUCGAGUUGUUUGGGAAUGCAGCUCUAAGUGGGUGGUAAAUUCCAUCUAAAGCUAAAUAUUGGCGAGAGACCGAUAGCGAACAAGUACAGUGAUGGAAAGAUGAAAAGAACUUUGAAAAGAGAGUGAAAAAGUACGUGAAAUUGUUGAAAGGGAAGGGCUUGAGAUCAGACUUGGUAUUUUGCGUUCCCUUCCUUUUUGGUUGGGUUCCUCGCAGUUUACUGGGCCAGCAUCGGUUUGGAUGGUAGGAUAAUGACAUUGGAAUGUAGCUUUACUUCGGUGAAGUGUUAUAGACUUUGUUGAUACUGCCUAUCUAGACCGAGGACUGCGUCUUUGACUAGGAUGCUGGCGUAAUGAUCUUAAGCCGCCCGUCUUG